rnacentral:rRNA from 1 species
GACGAACGCUGGCGGCGUGCCUAAUACAUGCAAGUAGGACGCAGUUGCGAACGUGUUAGUAACGCGUAGGUAACUGCCUAUUAGUGGGGGAUAACUAUUGGAAACGAUAGCUAAUACCGCAUACUAGUAGAUGUACCUGCGUUGUUUUAUCUAGUAGGUAGGGUAAUGGCCUACCUAGGCGACGAUACAUAGCCGAACUGAGAGGGUGAACGGCCAAAAUGGGACUGAGACAAGGGCCAGACUCCUACGGGAGGCAGCAGGAGGGAAACUUUGGACAUGGGGGGAAACCUGACCGAGGAAAGCCGCGGGAGUGAAGAAGGUUUUCGGAUCGUAAAGCUCUGUUGUUAAGGAAGCGGUACUUAACCAGAAAGGGACGGCUAACUACGUGCCAGCAGCCGCGGUAAUAC